CUCGCUGGCCAUCACCUUCCAGCUGCUCCUAGACACGUGAGGGAGACGAUGGACACAGUCUCUGAAGAGUCCGGUGGGAAAGGACCCAAAAUACCCACCGCUGUCCUUUCCUUUCAUCUAUUUCAAAGUAAAAGAAUGAAGGUUGCUAUACAUACGUGUCUGAGCAAAAAUAUCCAUGGAGCAAAUCUGAGAUAGAUGUCUGGAGUUCAGGAAAAAAGGUGAGUGCUCUACCACUGAGCUGUGUUCCCAGCCCUACGUUCAUGACUCCUGACAUCAAAGGAGAGGACCAUGACCCUCUGUCAUUUGUAUCUUUCACCUUUCUAAGAAUUUUAUUCUCUUUCACAUUU